rnacentral:rRNA from 1 species
UACGUAGGGGGGCAAGCGUUGUCCGGAUUUAUUGGGCGUAAAGAGCGUGUAGGCGGCUUCACAGGUCCGCUGUGAAAACUCGAGGCUCAACCUCGAGCUGUCGGUGGAAACCGUGUGGCUAGAGUCCGGAAGAGGAGAGUGGAAUUCCCGGUGUAGCGGUGAAAUGCGCAGAUAUCGGGAAGAACACCCGUGGCGAAGGCGGCUCUCUGGGACGGUACUGACGCUGAGACGCGAAAAGCGUGGGGGAGCGAACAGG